rnacentral:rRNA from 1 species
GGCUGCAGUCGAGGAUCUUCGGCAAUGGGGGCAACCCUGACCGAGCGACGCCGCGUGCGGGAUGAAGGCCUUCGGGUUGUAAACCGCUGUCAGUGGGGAGGAAAUCUGGGAGGGAUCACCCUCUCAGUUGACCUAUCCGCAGAGGAAGGACGGGCUAAGUUCGUGCCAGCAGCCGCGGUAAUACGAACCGUACGAACGUUAUUCGGAAUUACUGGGCUUAAAGGGUGCGUAGGCGGCUCAGAAAGUUGGGUGUGAAAGCCCUCGGCUCAACCGAGGAAUUGCGCCCAAAACUACUGAGCUUGAGGGAGACAGAGGUGAGUGGAACUUAGGGUGGAGCGGUGAAAUGCGUUGAUAUCCUAAGGAACACCAGUGGCGAAGGCGACUCACUGGGUCUCUUCUGACGCUGAGGCACGAAAGCUAGGGGAGCGAACGGGAUUAGAUACCCCGGUAGUCCUAGCCUUAAACGAUGAGCACUGGAUCGAAGGACACCCCAUAGUCUUUUGGUCGUAGCGAAAGUGUUAAGUGCUCCGCCUGGGGAUUAUGGUCGCAAGGCUGAAACUCAAAGGAAUUGACGGGGGCUCACACA